rnacentral:snRNA from 1 species
GGCUGUCCGUGUGAUCUGCCCAUGACAUCUGUCACCCGCUGAUCUCCAGGUCUGGUUUGGGUGACCUGGCUGGCUCGGUGGGUGUCCCUGCCCUCUCCUGCCGUUCCGUCUGCAUCCCACACAGCUGUGUGCCCUGUCAAAGAGGACAGCCUUCCCCAAUAGGGGAGAGCCAUUUCCUCCGUCUAGAGCACGCCAUAUGAGUAGCUGUGUGCUCCUGCUAGAAACUUUAAACAAGCUCUUAAAAAAUCAGGUCCCCAUAAUAAAAGAUCCAAUCAACACAUAGGCAAAUAAAAUGCAGAGGUAUUU